rnacentral:piRNA from 1 species
UGGAUCCUUACAUGUUCUCCCCAGAC